GUGCCCGUAGCUCAGCUGGAUAGAGUACGACCCUCCGAAGGUCGGGGUCACAGGUUCGAAUCCUGUCGGGCACGCCA
rnacentral:tRNA from 1 species